rnacentral:rRNA from 1 species
GAUGAACGCUGGCGGCGUGCCUAAUACAUGCAAGUCGAACGAGGUGCUUUUGUAGCAAUACGAGAGUAUCCUAGUGGCGAACGGGUGAGUAACGCGUGGAUGACCUGCCCCAAAGUGUGGGAUAACAGUCCGAAAGGAUUGCUAAUACCUCAUGUGGUUAUCGGUUUUAGAAAGCGAUAACUAAAGCAGCAAUGCGCUUUGGGAGGGAUCUGCGUCCCAUCAGCUAGUUGGUGAGGUAACGGCUCACCAAGGCGACGACGGGUAGGGGACCUGAGAGGGUGGCCCCCCACAAUGGAACUGAAACACGGUCCAUACACCUACGGGUGGCAGCAGUAGGGAAUAUUGCUCAAUGGGCGAAAGCCUGAAGCAGCAACGCCGCGUGUGCGAUGAAGGCCUUGGGUCGUAAAGCACUUUCUAAGAGAUGAGAAAGGACAGUAUCUUAGGAAUAAGUCUCGGCUAACUACGUGCCAGCAGCCGCGGUAAUGUCUAG